CAAUCUACAAAGAAUCCAGAACCAGGCCAUGCGUGACCUAACCAAGAAAAUGUUGGAACCCAAUCCCGAAAAAAGAAUGACAUCGUCGGAUGUCGCUAAAAAAUUAGAACAAAUCAGGGCGAAGGACAGGCCAUACCAAUUCGCCACCUCAGUGGCAGAUGAUAAUACUUCAAAUUUGAAACAAAUCAAAGUUAAUUAAAAAAAGGAAUUGGGAAGUGGAGGUUAUGGAAUAGUUUUCCAAGGCGAGUGGAAUAACAUUCAAGUGG